rnacentral:rRNA from 1 species
AACGAACGCUGGCGGCAGGCUUAACACAUGCAAGUCGAGCGCCCCGCAAGGGGAGCGGCAGACGGGUGAGUAACGCGUGGGAAUCUACCCAUCUCUACGGAAUAACGCAUGGAAACGUGUGCUAAUACCGUAUACGUCCUUCGGGAGAAAGAUUUAUCGGAGAUGGAUGAGCCCGCGUUGGAUUAGCUAGUUGGUGGGGUAAAGGCUUACCAAGGCGACGAUCAAUAGCUGGUCUGAGAGGAUGAUCAGCCACACUGGGACUGAGACACGGCCCAGACUCCUAUGGGAGGCAGCAGUGGGGAAUAUUGGACAAUGGGCGCAAGCCUGAUCCAGCCAUGCCGCGUGAGUGAUGAAGGCCCUAGGGUUGUAAAGCUCUUUCACCGGUGAAGAUAAUGACGGUAACCGGAGAAGAAGCCCCGGCUAACUUCGUGCCAGCAGCCGCCGUAACAC